UCCCCGUUAUCCGAGGCGGUUUCGCUAGAGUGCCCGACAUUACUCGCUGGCAACUAAUGACAAGGGUUGCGCUCGUUGCGGGACUUAACCCAACAUCUCACGACACGAGCUGACGACAGCCAUGCAGCACCUGUGUUCCCGUUCCCUUUCGGGCACACCCCCAUCUCUGGAGGCUUCCUGGCAUGUCAAGGGUAGGUAAGGUUUUUCGCGUUGCAUCGAAUUAAUCCACAUAAUCCACUGCUUGUGCGGGCCCCCGUCAAUUCCUUUGAGUUUCAGCCUUGCGGCCGUACUCCCCAGGCGGGGCACUUAAUGCGUUAGCGCCGGCACUCAGAGGGUCGCUCCCCCAAGCACCUAGUGCCCAUCGUUUACGGCGUGGACUAC
rnacentral:misc_RNA from 1 species